AUUAUUGAAACUUCAUCCGGGGCGCCGCGGCCCCCAGCGCCGGUGGAAACGCCGUGCUGCGGGGGAAGCGCGCGUACUCGUCCAAACCAAACCCCUGUGAACCUAUCGGGACGGGCCCGGGUUAGCGCCCGGGCAGUCCCGCUUUAUAAAAACGCUUAUUUGAGAAUGAACUUGAAGGUGGUCUGACCGCUGGAUAACAAACUGAAACAACUUUCAACAACGGAUCUCUUGGCUCUCGCAUCGAUGAAGAACGCAGCGAAAUGCGAUAAGUAAUGUGAAUUGCAGAAUUCAGUGAAUCAUCGAAUCUUUGAACGCACCUUGCGCCCCCUGGUAUUCCGGAGGGCAUGCCUGUUUGAGUGUCUUGAUAUCAUCAACCCCUCGGGUUCGCGCCCGACGCGGGUUGGAGUUGGGGGCUUGCUGCCGCGAGGCGGCUCCCCUUAAAAUCAUCGGUUUGGCCCGCAUCGUGCGGCUUGCACCUUUGGCGUUGUAUCUCCCUCGCCUUUGAUC
rnacentral:rRNA from 1 species